AAAAAAAAACUUUAAAAUCCUAUACUAUUCUGUCAAAAAUAAAGCGAAAUCCGACGAAGAGCAAGAGAAAACAACCCUAGCCCGAAUCACCAUAUUCCUGAGACAUGAGGGCUUUCAUCGGUGUUGUUUCAAGUAUCCUUUUCGUUUUCUAUGCUAAAAUAAUGCAAGCAAAUCGAUGGAAAAAAUGGAAAGAUUUGAAAUCACCUUUAGAUAACUUUUUUGAUUUCUUUUCUACUAUUUAGAAUAUGUAUUGUAGUGUGCGUAUUUCGUCCCCCAAAAAAAGAGAGACUUUACAAUCGAAAUACACAGGGCUUUAUAGCCAAAAUCCCAAAAAGAUCAAAACAUAAAAAAUAAAAAAUACAACUUUUCUUUGUUUUUCUAUUUGCUACUGCUGUGGUUUGUCUGUUCUUCGCAGGUACGGGGUGCGUUGGCAUCGUACGGAGGCUGUGCUGGCGCGGACGUGGCUGCUGGAGGGUACGGAGGCGGUACGGAGGCUGGGGCUGCUACGGCACAAACAGAUUGCUAGGGUUCUGCCUUAUUUUUGAAUCUUGGGCCACUUGGGCUGAUAUAAUUUGGACUAGUUUUAUUAGUUUUGGGCUAUGGG
rnacentral:lncRNA from 1 species